GACGAACGCUGGCGGCGUGCCUAAUACAUGCAAGUUGAGCGCUGAAGGUUGGUACUUGUACCAACUGGAUGAGCAGCGAACGGGUGAGUAACGCGUGGGGAAUCUGCCUUUGAGCGGGGGACAACAUUUGGAAACGAAUGCUAAUACCGCAUAAAAACUUUAAACACAAGUUUUAAGUUUGAAAGAUGCAAUUGCAUCACUCAAAGAUGAUCCCGCGUUGUAUUAGCUAGUUGGUGAGGUAAAGGCUCACCAAGGCGAUGAGACAUAGCCGACCUGAGAGGGUGGUCGGGCACAAUUGGACUGAGACAAGGCCCAAACUCCUACGGGAGGCAGCAGGAGGGAAUCUUUGGACAAGGACGAAAGUCUGACCGAGCAACGCCGCGUGAGUGAAGAAGGGUGUCGGAUCGUAAAACUCCGUUGGUAGGGAGGAACGUUGGUGAGAGUGGAAAGCUCAUCAAGUGACGGUAACUACACAGAAAGGGACGGCUAACUACGUG
rnacentral:rRNA from 1 species